rnacentral:tRNA from 1 species
UGGUUCAGUGGUAGAAUUCUUGCCUUCCGUGUAGGAGACCCAGGUUCGAUUCCUGG